AGCUAGAGAUGCGGAACGAGGCCUUCUGCGCAAUAGGCCAGCUCCUAGUUAGUCCGUUUGCUCAUUUGCACAUUCAUUCAUUCCUUCUUUCAUUCUUCAGCAUCUGUGGUCUAAUUCAUAGACAGAAGUCAGCUCCCUGAGGGCAGGAUUCUGGUCUGUCCUAUCCAUGGCUGUCCCCACAGCAUCCAGGGCAGCACCUGGCACUGGGAGGGUCUUAGUGAAUCGUUGCUGAAUCAGUGGAUGCUCUGUGCCCAGAAAUGGGCCCAGCAGUGGCCACUCCCUGGAGGCAUCUAGUCCAAAACUUUCCCUUCCCUGUGCUAAGUACAGUACCUGAGUUAUUGGGAUGGUUACGGGCACCCAGCAGAGAAGGAGCCUGGGGACACCUAGGAAGACUUCCUGGAGGAGGAGACCUGAGCUGAAUCUUCAAGAACCGACAGGAGCUGACUUGAAGUGACUUGAAGGAGUCCGGGAAGGGGAACUGGGCCUAGAACAGAGGGAACACUCUGGUGUUGGGAAGUGCAGGUCCUGUUGGAGGCGGGGAGCGCAGAAGAUGAGGCUGCAGGGCUUCAGGACCCGAGGGAGCUGAGGCCUGGCUGCUGGGCUGGAGCUGGCCAGAGGUCAUCUUCUCCAUGCCCCUGCCUCUCAACAGGUGUCUCCACCACCAGCCCAGAGCUGGAUCCUCCUCCCAAGGGGUCUGAGGUGAAGAGGCCAGGCAGACAACAUUGCCAGAAACAAGAGUCAACACUGAACACCUGCUGUGCUGGAACUCAGGGAGUGAGGAAAGAGAAAAAUGCAAUCUGCCCUUGAAGGGGUUUAUGGGCUGAUGGAGAAAACGAUCAAGUGUUACAGGAGCAAACUUUGAGUAGUUGUGUGCCAGGCA